GUCCCCAAACUCACACACUCUCUCUCUCUCUCUCUCUCUCUGCCUCUCCACGCUACCAAAAGCUCGCGAUCUAGUUUAAUUAAAAUAAGCCUUUUGUUAUCAAAACCUAGAUCAGAGAGUAGAAAGAGAGAGAGUGACUCACCUAGCAUGAGAAAGGACCGGACUGAAAUGUCCGAAGACGACGAUCGCUCCCCGCCGUUAGAUCUUCGCGGAGCGGACAUCGCCGAGUCGUCCAGCAAGACUCGGAACUGCAGCGGAGUUACCGGGCCGGUGGCGGGGCCCGGGCCGAGCUCCAUGGAGUUCCAGGCGCCGUACCCGGACCAGGUGCUCGAGAACGUGCUGGAAAACGUGCUCCAGUUCCUGAGCACACGGCGGGACCGAAACGCGGCGUCAUUGGUGUGCAAGUCGUGGUGCCGCGUGGAGGCGCUGACCCGAUCCGAGCUCUUCAUCGGGAACUGCUACUCGGUGUCGCCACGUCGAGCCACGGCCCGGUUCGCGCGGGUCCAGGCUGUGGCCAUCAAGGGCCGGCCGAGGUUCGCCGACUUCAACCUGAUGCCGCUGGACUGGGGGGCCCACUUCGCGCCCUGGGUGAACGCCAUGGCCGCCGCCUACCCCUGGCUCGAGAAGGUGUACCUGAAGCGCAUGUCGGUCUCCGACGACGAUCUGACCCUCCUCGCCGAGUCCUUCCCGUCCUUCAAGGAGCUCGUCCUUGUUUGUUGCGACGGCUUCGGCACCAGCGGCCUCGCCGUCAUCGCCAGCAAGUGCAGACAUCUGAGAGUGCUUGAUCUAAUCGAAUCUGAGGUUUCGGAUGAUGAUGUGGAUUGGAUAGCUUGUUUUCCCGAGAGCGAAACGAGCUGUCUGGAGUCGCUGAUUUUCGAUUGCGUAGAAUGCCCAAUAAAUUUCGAGGCAUUGGAGAGGCUGGUGGUUCGGUCCCCCUCCUUGAAGAAGCUUAGAUUGAACCGCGUUGUUUCGAUUGGGCAGCUGUACCGCCUGAUGGUUCGAGCUCCGCAGCUCACACACAUUGGAACCGGCUCGUUUAGGGCACCAGAGAGCGUAGCUCAGGGUGAUCCAGAGCCAGACUAUACCGCUGCCUUUGCUGCUUGCAAAUCGUUAGUUUGUCUCUCGGGCUUCAGGGAAAUCUUGGCGGACUACUUACCGGUCAUCCACCCUGUGUGUGCUAAUCUCACCUCCCUGAAUUUCAGCUAUGCGAAUGUUGACGCAGAACAGCUCAAAUCGGUGAUACUUCACUGCCACAAGCUCCAGACUUUCUGGGUCCUUGAUUCAAUAUGUGAUGAAGGACUUCAAGCUGUGGCGGCAACUUGCAAGGACCUGCACGAGCUUCGGGUUUUCCCUAUUGAUGCUCGGGAGGAUAGUGAGGGCCCUGUUUCUGAAGUGGGUCUCCAAGCAAUCUCCGAGGGUUGUAGGAAACUACAAUCAAUUUUGUAUUUCUGCCAGCACAUGACUAAUGCAGCUGUGAUAGCCAUGUCGAACAACUGCCCGGAUCUUGAGGUGUUCCGCCUCUGUAUAAUGGGUCGACACCGCCCUGACCAUGUGACUGGUGCGCCCAUGGAUGAAGGUUUUGGAGCCAUUGUUAGGAACUGUAAGAAGCUCACUCGGCUUGCAAUUUCUGGUUUACUGACUGAUCGCGCUUUCAGUUACAUUGGAAAAUAUGGGAAGUUGGUUCGGACUCUGUCAGUUGCAUUUGCUGGAGAUAGUGACAUGGGGCUUAAAUAUGUGCUCGAGGGCUGUCCUAGACUGCAAAAGCUUGAGAUCAGGGAUAGCCCAUUUGGGGAUUCAGCUUUGCUUUCUGGUUUACAUCACUAUUACAACAUGAGAUUCCUCUGGAUGUCUUCGUGUAGGUUAUCUCCCCAAGGUUGUCAGGAGAUUGCCCGAGCAUUGCCUCGGCUGGUGGUUGAAGUGUUCGGUGGUGAAAAUGGCGAGCUGCACGGGGAUGAAACUGUUGACAUAUUAUACAUGUAUCGGUCUCUUGAAGGGCCAAGAGAAGAUGCCCCAGGAUUUGUGACCAUCUUGCAGUAAAAGAAGCUGAUUUGGCUGUUUGGUGGCUACUGAGCAAGUUGAGAGCAUUUUUUGGGGGAAAAUUGAAGACAGCGGAUGGCUUUUAUACAACCCGAAAGGAGGUCCAUGCAAUCCGUGUCUGUCAAACAAAGAUGAGUGAACAACUCCUGUUCCUGGCUUGAGCAGUUACAAAAGCAUCCAAAGCAGAGGCAAGCAAAUGUGAGAUGGGUAAUAAAUGCCAAAUAUGCAUGGACCAUAUGCCAUAUAUACUUGGUGGGAUCUCUAUCUUUGCCUCCGUUUUUCUUCUUCUGGAUGUGGAAUGAAUGAUCAAUUGACAGUGAGGUCCAUUAAUGAUGUGCUAAAAGUGCCGUGUACAAGUACAAGCUGCGGGACUCCCCCCUUCCAAUUUACAUACACCAUCAGAAUCCCAAUUUACAUAUGCCUUCAGUUGUGCCUUCCUUUUGAAAUCAAAUUGGAAUAGCAGGGGUUUUACUUGUUCUGUUUUAAAGCUCGAUCUGCUGGAUUUCAUUUUUUGAGUUGCUUCUGACUUUCUUUCCAAGUAUGUGGUGCCAUUGGUGGAGGGUGGGACCUAUGAUGAUUUGUCACAACCCCUGCGUUUGCGUUAUAAAGCAGCCAAGGUCCACCAAUGGUCUCUCUCUCUCUCUCUCGCUCAUAAUUAGGAUAGAUAUCCAUCUGCCUUCUUUGUUGGUAUUCUCUCUGGCAGGACGGUAAAAAGCAAGCUUAUCAUCAAAGUGGGAUCUGACUGUGCAAUUGAAUAAGUGAUGGGAAGCAAAGCUUCGGCUUUCUUUCUUGUCGAUCCAUUUGCGUCUCUCUGUAUUCAGUCGAAAUUCUAAUGGGGAUUUUUCUAUUCUA